rnacentral:rRNA from 1 species
AGUGAACGUUGGCGGCGUGGAUUAGGCAUGCAAGUCGAGCGAGAACCGUAGCAAUACGGGGACAGCAGCGAAAGGGACAGUAAUGUGUAGGUACCUACCCCGAGGUCUGGGAUAGCUGCGGGAAACUGCAGGUAAUACCGGAUAAUGUCUUCGGACCAAAGGUGUGAUUCCACCUUGGGAGGGGCCUGCAUCCUAUUAGCUAGUUGGCGGGGUAAUGGCCCACAAAGGCAACGAUGGGUAGCGGGUGUGAGCGCACGACCCGCGUCAUGGGGACGGAGACACUGCCCAGACGACUACGGGGGGCUGCAGUCGAGGAUCUUCGGCAAUGGGCGCAAGCCUGACCGAGCGACGCCGCGUGCGGGAUGAAGGCCUUCGGGUUGUAAACCGCUGUCGUAGAGGAGGAAAUGCAGGGGGGUUCUCCCUUCUGUUUGACCUAUUCUAGGAGGAAGGACGGGCUAAGUUCGUGCCAGCCGCCGCGGUAA